ACAUAACCUUAUAAACAAACAGUUGUUUAUUUAGAGUUAUUUAUUAUUGUUUUCUCAUAUUUUGCAAUUGUUAAGUUGGUUUACUUCGAAUUUAAUGUGCAUUACUGUGGUAUUUCUCCAGUUUUCUAAGAAGGUUGGUGAUUUUGAAUUGGGAUUAUGAUGAAUUUAACCCAAAGGCAAUGUGUGUGUUUAUUUAUGUGGCAAAAUUCCAGGCAGCAUAAAAAUUUGAGUUUCUUCCUGUUGCCCAUGGAUGAAAAUCGGUUUGCAGAAUGAAAAGAAAUUGUUCAAUGUGAUAAACUUUCUAUGAACAGUCCUCAGUGUUGUUACAUUAACUUUUAAAUAUGCAUCUUGAGGAGCAGGCCUUUGCAGAAAUACUGAAAAGCGGGUUGCAAAACAAUGCAAAAUAAAAUAAACGAAAUAUGUCUUGAGAUUAAACAUUCAAGUUGAAGGUGUGUUCUUUCUUAAACUGGAAUGAUAAUUUUGUAAUUCUGUAGGCACAUCUAUUGAGAAGUUACAACCAGUGGCAAAGUGCCUUAAGGGAAUCUAUGACAUAUAUAAUUGAAGGUAUGAGUAUAUGUUUCAAAUCGUUGGAUGAUUCUGAGAAAGUGUAGAUUUUUUUCAUGAAUUUGGUACAUAACCGUCUUUAUCUAAACUCUAAAAAUCAUUGACAUCUGUUUUGAAGAACCAUGUUCCUAGAAACCAUUGAUAACAAAUAUAGACGGUUACCUCUGCAUUCGUUGUAUCAUCUUACUACUCUAUCCAUAGUGAGUCUAAUUUUUAAAUCUAUAAUAAUUGUUUACGUGCUGGUUUCAUAAAGAUGCUUCCAAAAUCUAUAUGGGCCUUACUAGGCAGCACAGCCAUGCCUUUAAUAGUUUUUCCAAUUAUAUUUUCAAUAUGCUUAUUCUAGUUAAGAUUGCGGGACAAAAAGACCACUAAAUAUUUGAGUUCAUUUUUAGGUAUCAGCAUUGGCUCUACAGCCCAUGGUGGGUCUUGGCCUGUUCCAGAAUCAGCUUCCACUCUUUCCUAUCCUUUGCUUGGAUUUCCAAUUUCUCACUCCAGCAUGAAUUUUUGGUAUAUAUGGGAUUAUAUUGUGAUAACGACCAGAUCUAUGAAAGAAUAGUAUGUUGUUAAAGAAGAUUGUGGUGACACUAUUCAUGAAUAUCUGAUAAUAUUGGUUAAUGUGAAUGGAGUCCAAAAUGGGGUUUAGGCUGUUAUAUAAAAAACUAGGUCAUUAGCAUAUGGAAGUAGGGCGACAUUAUCUGGUAUUAAAUUAUGUGAAUGAGGAGAAUUAAACCUAAAAACUCUAUUUAUUCUGCUAAUCAAUAUGAAUUUAAUAUAUUUUAAUAUAAAACAUAUGUUAU